ACGUCACGUCGAGGGCGCCGGGUCCCGGAGGCGCGGACUGGAGUUGUCCCGCCCCAGCAAUCUGGUAGAGAGUUUAAAUUUAGUCCUAUGGCUGGAAACCGACAUUACCUGCACUAGCUUUAUUUUUCCAAGAGAACUUUUGCGAAACGGAAGCUACGACACCUAGCUUACCUGACAGGGGCAUUUUUGAGGCAAGAAGCCAGGCUAAUAUUGAUCAGAAGUUGAUGAUGGAGAUGAUGCUGGAAAGGAUGGAGUAGGUGCUGGAGAAUCAGGAUUUGAUUCUGUUCCAGGAGGAGGGGAGCUUACCACUAAGAUGAUAUGGGUGACCUGUAAGAGUAGCUGGUGCCCUUUGCCAUAGAGCUGCACGCACACCUGGCCCAGCUUAUCGAGAAGCAGAAGGAGAAGAUCCAGUGGAAUCUGGAGAUACUGUAGGCCUGGCUGUUAACCCCUUCCUAUGAGAUACGCUUGGAGAAGAUCAGCAAUAAGAGGAUAACAAAUCAGCAAAAUAACAUGAUUAACAAAAAAAUUGUGGGUAGCAAAAGAAUAAGGGAAGGAGAAUAGAGGCAUAAAAAUGCAUGAUCAAAAGGAAGAACAGAGUGUAGUAGUGAAUAUCGUAGUGGAAAGGCAGUAUGAACAGGCUAAGUCCCUGCCAAUCCUAAACACACCAGUGACAGUGGUGUGACAAGGGUCUCAUCUAAACCACUAAGAUAUUUGGGUUUUAGAAUUGAAAAGACCCAAAGGACAAGAAAAUGACAGAUAUUCUGAGUGUAACCAGGAGAUGGAAGAUUCACAAGGAGAAUCAGCAUCUGUGAAUGGUGACUACAACAAAUCUAUAUGGCUGAAUGCUACUUGUUUUCUAAAUUCCUAUGUUAUAUACCUAGUGCAGUGAUAACCAAGUGUUGGAAAAAUGCAGGUAAUCCUCCAGGUGAACCUUGACAAUCUGGUUAUACUGUAACGCCAGGACCUCUGAAAGCAGCAGGUGAUUGGCCAGCUGCCUCACCACUUGCAGCCCUGGGCCUUGGAGAAAGAGACAUGUGCAAGAAUUGAGACUCAGAAAGAUAAUUAUGGAAAGCAGAACAGUAACUUCCCUAAAGUCAAACAUACAGAUGUGAUGAUGGAAGAAGGAUCAAAAAGAUGCAAUGUCGCUGGCUUUCCAGAUGGGGAAAUGGGACCAUGAGUCAUGCGGAGACUCAUGAGAGAAUGCAGGCAGUCUCCAGAAACUGAAAAAGGUAUAACUUGAGACCUGGGAGUUAAAAGAAGCAGACCUUGGGAGAGAGACCCAAACAGAUAAUGAUACAGUUAAAUAUCCAUGUUUUCUGGGGGGAGAGGGGGUUGUGUUUGUAAUAGGUAAAAUACUGAAGGGAAGCUUAAAUCAACUCUCUUCAUAAUGGUAUGUUCACUAGAUAAAAAUUUAAGCUUUUAAAAAUAA